UGCCAGACUCCUACGGGAGGCAGCAGUGGGGAAUAUUGCACAAUGGGGGAAACCCUGAUGCAGCGACGCCGCGUGAGCGAUGAAGUAUUUCGGUAUGUAAAGCUCUAUCAGCAGGGAAGAAAAUGACGGUACCUGACUAAGAAGCCCCGGCUAACUACGUGCCAGCAGCCGCGGUAAUACGUAGGGGGCAAGCGUUAUCCGGAUUUACUGGGUGUAAAGGGAGCGUAGACGGUUAUGCAAGUCUGAAGUGAAAGCCCAAGGCUCAACCAUGGGACUGCUUUGGAAACUGUAAAACUGGAGUGCAGGAGAGGUAAGCGGAAUUCCUAGUGUAGCGGUGAAAUGCGUAGAUAUUAGGAGGAACACCAGUGGCGAAGGCGGCUUACUGGACUGUAACUGACGUUGAGGCUCGAAGGCGUGGGGAGCAAACAGGAUUAGAUACCCGUGUA
rnacentral:rRNA from 1 species